GUACUUGCGUCGGCAGUGCAUAUACUAAAAUUCGAACGAUGCAGAGAAUAUUAGCAUGGCUCCUGCUCAAAAAAGCGUAGUGACUAGCGUUGAUGCUUCAUGAU